UUUGGGUUUCUUUAUAGUAUCAUCAUAUGGGCCUAUCUUUUCUAGCAUGGAUGAAAACCUUUUGUUUGAGCCUUGCUUAUGGGCUACCAGGAUCUCGUCGGAGAGAAAUCAGCUGCCAUUGGGCAUAGGGUCCAGAAAUUACCACAUGCCGAGCUCUCAGGUGACGGAGCAAUAAUUCGUGGCUCAGUAUUGCCGAGCAAUUCAGAUAAGAGAGGACUGCAUCUAUUGGUUGGUUGAUGCUGUUUUCGAAUGACUUUUUUUGUUCUCCCAAAAGAACUAGCCGGAAGAAUCUUCUUGUUGAGAUGCAGAAUGAAUACUCAAGUUAGUAGCAUCAGUACCAUAACAAGAAUUCAACAAAAGGCACCAUCAUCAUCAUCAUCUCGAAAACCACUCCAGUAGAAAAUCUCAAGAACCCAAACAAAAUGGUGACACAAAUGGUACGUCCAAUUAAGCAUAAGUCAUAGUAAUUCAACUGAAGCUCUCGUUUUAUGUUUUUGUAGCUAACCUGUGGUUCAGAGAUAAUGGACAUCAUGUACCAAAUUAGAUACAGAACACAAAAGGGAUGGCAUUGUCGCAUAAAGUAUGUUUCCCUUGUUUUGUUUCUAUGACCAAUUUCAUUCUUCUUUGUCGAAUAAAUCUGGUCGUCGAAUGACAGCACUGCAGUUUAUGAUGUCUGUGCUCUGCUUGACUGGUACGGUUGGGCGUUUUUCAAAAUCAUGAAUCUGGGUUUUUGAGCUUGAGAUUAGACCUUCAAUAACAUAAAUGCUUUUCCACGCUGGUAACGAUGUUGUAUUACUUACUUCGAGGACACGAUGCUUAUCUUGAUUAGGCUAAAUUCAGAAAUCCACCUUAAUUUAUGAACCCAGGAUGAUGACGCUGUAGGAUGGGGGACUGGGGAGGGGUUGACGACCUCCAAAUACAGCAUAAUUUCAAUGUUUUUUACAUGCCAGCCAGCUUUCAAAACAUGCAGCUGAGGCAAUGUCCUCAUCAUCUUAAUUGCACUGCUGCUGGGUUCAUUCGCUCUGAUCGUGAAGCAGAAUACAGGAAAAAAAGGAAGCAGGAAUUGCCUACCCACUUUCUCCCCAAAAUAAGGAAAGAUUUAUUGCCUACUGCUGACGAUAACAUUCGACAUAUACUUAUUGUCUAGUCGUCCACUUAUCUUUCCUAUAUCCUUCUAUUCAUCAAACUUAUGGCUUCGCCCAAGAUUGACACUGCUAAAGUUGACAUGAGAGAGUGGCUUCUCUAUAUGACAAAUGCACUAAUUUGUUCA